rnacentral:snoRNA from 1 species
AAACCAUGAUGUGGGCAAGAAUUUAACAAAUCCUUGAAACGCUCUCAAUACUGAAAGAAUGCUUCAUUUGAAUUUUGAGAAAAAUUUUGAAUUUGUCUUU